rnacentral:rRNA from 1 species
GAGUAACCCGUGAGUAACCUGCCCUCCACUCUGGGAUAAGCACUGGAAACGGUGUCUAAUACCGGAUACGAGCUUCCGCCGCAUGGUGAGGAGCUGGAAAGAAUUUUGGUGGGGGAUGGACUCGCGGCCUAUCAGGUAGUUGGUGAGGUAAUGGCUCACCAAGCCGACGACGGGUAGCCGGCCUGAGAGGGUGACCGGCCACACUGGGACUGAGACACGGCCCAGACUCCUACGGGAGGCAGCAGUGGGGAAUAUUGCACAAUGGGCGAAAGCCUGAUGCAGCAACGCCGCGUGAGGGACGACGGCCUUCGGGUUGUAAACCUCUUUUAGUAGGGAAGAAGCGAAAGUGACGGUACCUGCAGAAAAAGCACCGGCUAACUACGUGCCAGCAGCCGCGGUAAUACGUAGGGUGCAAGCGUUGUCCGGAAUUAUUGGGCGUAAAGAGCUCGUAGGCGGUUUGUCGCGUCUGCUGUGAAAUCCGGAGGCUCAACCUCCGGCCUGCAGUGGGUACGGGCAGACUAGAGUGCGGUAGGGGAGAUUGGAAUUCCUGGUGUAGCGGUGGAAUGCGCAGAUAUCAGGAGGAACACCAAUGGCGAAGGCAGAUCUCUGGGCCGUAACUGACGCUGAGGAGCGAAAGCAUGGGGAGCGAACAGGAUUAGAUACCCUGGUAGUCCAUGCCGUAAACGUUGGGAACUAGGCGUAGGGUCCAUUCCACGGAUUCUGUGCCGCAGCUAACGCAUUAAGUUCCCCGCCUGGGGAGUACGGCCGCAAGGCUAAAACUCAAAGGAAUUGACGGGGGCCCGCACAAGCGGCGGAGCAUGCGGAUUAAUUCGAUGCAACGCGAAGAACCUUACCAAGGCUUGACAUAUACCGGAAAAGUUCAGAAAUGUUCUCCCCGCAAGGUCGGUAUACAGGUGGUGCAUGGUUGUCGUCAGCUCGUGUCGUGAGAUGUUGGGUUAAGUCCCGCAACGAGCGCAACCCUCGUUCUAUGUUGCCAGCACGUAAUGGUGGGAACUCAUAGGA